GACGAACGCUGGCGGCGUGCCUAAUACAUGCAAGUUGAGCGCUGAAGGUUGGUACUUGUACCAACUGGAUGAGCAGCGAACGGGUGAGUAACGCGUGGGGAAUCUGCCUUUGAGCGGGGGACAACAUUUGGAAACGAAUGCUAAUACCGCAUAAAAACUUUAAACACAAGUUUUAAGUUUGAAAGAUGCAAUUGCAUCACUCAAAGAUGAUCCCGCGUUGUGUUAGCUAGUUGGUGAGGUAAAGGCUCACCAAGGCGAUGAUACAUAGCCGACCUGAGAGGGUGAUCGGCCACAUUGGGACUGAGACACGGCCCAAACUCCUACGGGAGGCAGCAGUAGGGAAUCUUCGGCAAUGGACGAAAGUCUGACCGAGCAACGCCGCGUGAGUGAAGAAGGUUUUCGGAUCGUAAAACUCUGUUGGUAGAGAAGAACGUUGGUGAGAGUGGAAAGCUCAUCAAGUGACGGUAACUACCCAGAAAGGGACGGCUAACUACGUG
rnacentral:rRNA from 1 species